UGCUUUUUCAUCCCUUGAUUUCUAAUAUUCUUUUUCCUUCCUCUUCCCCCAUUACAUACUAUUCUCCACUCUCCCUCGUUAGAUAUAUUCAGAUGUUGGGUCGCUUUCCUGUAUCUGACUCUCAUGACAACAACGACCCAUAUCCUUUCCCUUUAAUUUGCCCAUGAACAAUACACACAUACAUACACAUAGACAUACAUAUACAUACAUGCUAUAACUCAUUCCUCUCAUCCUGGCCUCCACAAUCCAUAAUUUCUGCAGCUAGCUCCUUUUUCUUUUCUUUUCUAUUAUUAUGCUCCACCUUCUCUCUUACUCCAUUUCCUAGUUUUGCUACCUGCAGUUGCACUCCAUUCCAGGGCCUUUCCAUUAUUUAUUUUUCUAUUAUUUUCCUAAUUUUUUUUCUUCUCAUUUAUUUCCUAAGAUUAGGGUUUUAAGCAAUACUUGCAUCACUUACAAAUUUAGGGUUUUUACUUCACUAACCCAACAUAAUUACUCUCUCCAUGAAUAUUAAUGUUAAUAGUACUAGAGGAGCACAUACAUAUUUUAGCGGUUAGGUCAAGAUAAAUGAAUUAGGUCCAGAAUCACACUUUGCUUUUACUUUUAUUGGUUCUCUUUCUUUUUGUACCUACUAUGUUAACAUACUAUUUUAGUUCAUAUAUGUAUAUAUGUUUACUUGAUAUAUUCACUUGUAUCAUAUCUUAUCCGGGAAAUUGGUUUCUAUGAUCUAAUGUCUUUCUGUCAAAGUUUCCAGGGUUAAUUCCUAUAACAUCUUUUAGUUUUUCCCCGGCCCUCUCCUUAAUACUUGCUUUAUAGCCUAUAAUUCAUCAGUCGACACAUAUGCACAUGCUUUCCUGCUUACAACAGCUCUACCACUACUCCAGUCCACUCUGAUGGAACUACUAAAAUGGUCUACAAGAGAUGUGGUUUGAUGAAUUAAUGAGAGACAAUGAAAGGUGUGCAAGUAAAUACUGAUGUCUCUUGAGCUUGACUGUGCUAUCUGCUCUCAGCCAUGUGUCUUUGUUCCUAAAAUUUACACUUGCAUUUUUGGUCAGACAUUGUACAGUUUGGUGCACGUGUUAUCAUGUGUUUGUUUCAAGGUUUGUUUCAGUGGUAUUGGUUUUGGUUUCAAAGUAAGUGAGGGCCAUAGGAAAAAUCUGUUUGAUUACAAAAGUUGCAGAAACAUCCGGCUUUUACGGCUAGUUUAUGUGUGUUUCAAGUACAGAUUUAACAUAAAUAUAUAUCUGUGGGGGUUUUGGUUUC